CAGCAGUCGCCGCGGUAAUACGUAGGUCCCGAGCGUUGUCCGGAUUUAUUGGGCGUAAAGCGAGCGCAGGCGGUUAGAAAAGUCUGAAGUGAAAGGCAGUGGCUCAACCAUUGUAGGCUUUGGAAACUGUUUAACUUGAGUGCAGAAGGGGAGAGUGGAAUUCCAUGUGUAGCGGUGAAAUGCGUAGAUAUAUGGAGGAACACCGGUGGCGAAAGCGGCUCUCUGGUCUGUAACUGACGCUGAGGCUCGAAAGCGUGGGGAGCGAACAGGAUUAGAUACCCGUGUAGUCCCUGUCUCUUAUACA
rnacentral:rRNA from 1 species